CAGCCGCCGCGGUAAUACGGAGGGUGCAAGCGUUAAUCGGAAUUACUGGGCGUAAAGCGUGCGUAGGCGGUGAGUUAAGUCUGCUGUGAAAUCCCCGGGCUCAACCUGGGAAUGGCAGUGGAUACUGGCUCGCUAGAGUGUGUCAGAGGAUGGUGGAAUUCCCGGUGUAGCGGUGAAAUGCGUAGAGAUCGGGAGGAACAUCAGUGGCGAAGGCGGCCAUCUGGGACAACACUGACGCUGAGGCACGAAAGCGUGGGGAGCAAACAGGAUUAGAUACCCGCGUAGUCCCUGUCUCUUAUAA
rnacentral:rRNA from 1 species